rnacentral:tRNA from 2 species
CGGGCUGUGGCGCAGUAGGUAGCGCGCUACCUUGGGGUGGUAGAGGUCGUGGGUUCGAAUCCCGCCAGUCCGACCA